UUUCUCAAGAGCAUGUUCUGUCACACUUUCCACACUGCCUUCCCCAAAUUCACUCUGCUCAAGUCCCCCACUCCAUCCUCGUGCCUCCACACAGUCUGUAGAUAAUGCUGUACUUUAUUUCAUCACGAAAAUACAAGCACUGAGUUGAUACUGCUUCAUCCUCUGAACACUCCCUACCUAUAAACCAAUCUAUAUUCCCAUCCAUAGCUUCUUUCAUUCCCAAAUUAGUGAAAAAGGUAUCUUUCUUCCCAAGUAAGGUAAAUCCGUCCCUCAUCUUGUGCUCAGGAUUCCUUCUCAUUCGGCCUCCCCAUGGAUCAUUCUAACACUGUCUCAACUCUUCAAUUUCUCUGACUUGUUCUACACCUGCCCAGCACUUAAAGUAUCUGGCCAAAUGAAUACAUGCAGGAGAUGAAAUAUGGAGAAAGAACAAAAGGACUAAUUCCACUUGUGAGAGAUGAAGGAACAGGAGCACUCUCAUGUUUCUUAGGUCACACACCAAGAAAGAGGAGACAUGAGAUUAAACCCACGUUUUCUAACUCUGGGCUCAUUUUGGUGACGUCAGGUGAUUUGGGUGAGAAUCCCAGUUCCAGCGAUCUCAGCAUGACUGACUGGAAUAUGUGAGUGAUAUUACAGCUUCAGCAACCUUCUUGAAUCAUGAAAAGAAGAGAAGCAAAGUGGGUGGAGAAAGAAGAUAGGAAGAGUCUGAUCCUUGACACUUUGGAGCACCACACGAGUCCUAGACUGACUAGCUACAGACUUUUUGCCUAUGAGGAAGAAAUAAACUUCUAUUUCACCU
ensembl:lncRNA GNG12-AS1 GNG12, DIRAS3 and WLS antisense RNA 1